rnacentral:lncRNA from 1 species
CACAGCCAAGUACAGUGUGUGGUCAUUUCUCCCUCGAUUUUUGUACCUGCAGUUUACCAAAGCUGCCAGUGCUUUCUUCUUGUUCAUUGCUAUAUUGCAGUAAAUUCCAGGUAUGUCCCCAACAGGAAAAUAUAUAACUCUCUUACCUUUGAUGAUUUUUCUUACGAUUUCAGGCAUUGAAGAGGUUAUAGAAGAUUAAAAACCACAUAUGGCAGACAAAAUAGUUAAAAAACACAAAAGCACUCCAUUGCCAAAUGGAAGUGGUAUAUACACAAUUGGGCCAAUAAUGGAAUUGCUGGGUUGAAUGGUAGUUUUAUUUUUAGUUCUUUGAUAAAUCUCCAUAAAUAUUUCCUCAACCUCAAUUGAUGUGUUAUAUAGCAACAGCUAAUCUGGAUAGAGAGACAGAUCUAAAGAUAUGGCUUUGCCAGAUACAAGCUGAAGUGCUACCAGAAAACCAGUUGUUAAGUCUAUCUGGAAAAAUAGACUGUGAAGCACCUCAUCUUCAUUUCAAUAGCUUCGCUGGAACCUGGAGCCUAAGGGGUAAAAUCCCUGUUCCAAUUGGGCCUGAUCAGGUCUUGUUUAGAGGUACACAGCUUGGAAAUACUCAGUGGAUCAUUGGUGUAGCUGUUUAGACUGGAUUUGAAAUGAAACUCAUGCACUCACUCACAUGUACCAUUUCUCUCUAUUGCUAUCUUUCUUUUGAUCACCCCUCAGGACAUCUUGUUUUUGUGUGUGUUGUUUUUUUGUUGUUGUUUUUUGUUUUUUCAUCUGAAGAGAAUCUCAACUAAGUCUUGUUUUGGACUAGGAAUUUCCUGAAUCUAAAGUGCUGGGAUUACAGGCGUGAGCAACCAUGCCUGGUCUAUCAUUUUGUACCAGAACCUCAUCCCUAUGCUGGUCACUAUGGAAAUUGUGAAAUAUAUUCAGGCCCAGUUUAUAAACUGAGAUGAAGAUAUGCAUUAUAAAAUCAAUAAUAUCUGUGCCAUGGCCAGAACAUUCAAUCUCAAUGAAGAACUUGGGCAGGUACAGUAUCAAUUUUCUAAUAAAACGGGAACCCUCACUUGCAAUAUUAUGACAUAUAAGAAGUGUAUCAUUGCAGGUGUAAUUUACAGGUACCAGAGUAUUGACAUAUAAUACCAGAGUUCUCUCUUGUUCAGAUCUCAAAUGUCAGACACCUUCUUCCAUCCCAGCAUCCUGUGAAUUUAACGACCCCAAGUUAUUGGAGAACUUUGAGAAUGGCCAUCCCACAAAAGACUAUAUAACAGAAUUUCUUAUCCUGUUAUCUGUGUGCCACUCUGUUAUUCCCAAGAGAGAUGGAAAUAAUAUAAUCCACCAGGCUUCCUCCCCCAGACAAUGAAGCAGCUUUAGCGAAAGGAGCAAAAAAACUUGGCUUUGUUUUCACUACCAGAACACCAUCCUCUGUCACCAUAGACACU